GACUGGUGGCCUAGUGGUUAGAGCAUCCGCCUCGGAUGCAGGAGGUUGUGGAUUCCAUCCCCGUUCGAGUCA